CCUUACAAGAAUACUACCACACAUUGCUUUUGAGUAGCGAUGGCCAAGCACAUGAGGAAUCAUAUCCAAGGAGUUGUGCUACUUUCUUUUGUUUUUGUGGUCUGUCUUGCUUGUCUUGGAUACGCAAACGGUGAAAGCAUAAACGACUAUGGGAGCAAUAAGGUCAAGAGCGUCCAAGAAGGCUACAUAACCCCCCCCCCCCCCCCAUGUUAUAGGAACACACACAUGGUUGUAGGCAAUAAAUUCUGCUGUAAAAAGGAUAAGUUGUGUUGGUCAGACCUUGGAGUAUGCUUCACAAACUGUCCAUGCAAGAUUGAUUGCCCAUCCCCACCGGUGACACAGUAGUUUAGUUGUCUCUCCAUUUGUUCAAAUAAAUCUCAGCCUUAUGGGUCUCGAAACAAAGAUGUGUUGAUUACAUAGCAAAUUUUGUAUGUUUCAGAAAUUGGAAGUAUCAUAAUAGUACUUAAUAAAAUUAGUGGGUUGUAUGCGUAA